AUUUACUUUAAAUUUUAAGAAUUUGGCGGUAAUUUAGUCUUUUUAGAGGAACCUGUUAUAUAAUCGAUAAACCACGAAAUAUCUUACUUAUUUAAUUAUUGUUUGUAUACCAUCAUUAUUAGAUAAUUUUUUAUAGGAUAAAUUAUUGGAAUUAGUUAACUAAAAAAAUUAGAUCAAGGUGCAGCUUAUAAAUAAGUUUAAAUGGGUUACAAUAAAGUUUAUUUAUUAUGGAAAAAUUUAGUAAUGAGGAUUGAAGAAAGAGGAUUUAAUUGUAAUAUAAAUUUAAUAAGUUUAUAUGAUAGGGGCUCUAAAUUAUGUACACAUCGCC
rnacentral:rRNA from 1 species